rnacentral:rRNA from 1 species
GUAGCUUGCUACCUGACCUAGCGGCGGACGGGUGAGUAAUGCUUAGGAAUCUGCCUAUUAGUGGGGGACAACAUUCCGAAAGGAAUGCUAAUACCGCAUACGCCCUACGGGGGAAAGCAGGGGAUCUUCGGACCUUGCGCUAAUAGAUGAGCCUAAGUCAGAUUAGCUAGUUGGUGGGGUAAAGGCCUACCAAGGCGACGAUCUGUAGCGGGUCUGAGAGGAUGAUCCGCCACACUGGGACUGAGACACGGCCCAGACUCCUACGGGAGGCAGCAGUGGGGAAUAUUGGACAAUGGGCGCAAGCCUGAUCCAGCCAUGCCGCGUGUGUGAAGAAGGCCUUUUGGUUGUAAAGCACUUUAAGCGAGGAGGAGGCUACUUGGAUUAAUACUCUAGGAUAGUGGACGUUACUCGCAGAAUAAGCACCGGCUAACUCUGUGCCAGCAGCCGCGGUAAUACAGAGGGUGCGAGCGUUAAUCGGAUUUACUGGGCGUAAAGCGUGCGUAGGCGGCUUCUUAAGUCGGAUGUGAAAUCCCUGAGCUUAACUUAGGAAUUGCAUUCGA